rnacentral:rRNA from 1 species
AGAAUCAACGCUGGCGGCGUGCCUAACACAUGCAAGUCGAACGAGAAAGGGUAGCAAUACCUGAGUAAAGUGGCGCACGGGUGAGUAACACGUGACUAACCUACCCUGGAGUGGGGGAUAACUGAGGGAAACCUUAGCUAAUACCGCAUAAUACCUACGGGUCAAAGGAGCAAUUCGCUUCAGGAGGGGGUCGCGGCCGAUUAGUUAGUUGGCGGGGUAAUGGCCCACCAAGACGAUGAUCGGUAUCCGGCCUGAGAGGGCGCACGGACACACUGGAACUGAAACACGGUCCAGACUCCUACGGGAGGCAGCAGUGGGGAAUUUUGCGCAAUGGGGGAAACCCUGACGCAGCAACGCCGCGUGGAGGAUGAAGUCCUUCGGGACGUAAACUCCUUUCGAUCGGGACGAUUAUGACGGUACCGGAAGAAGAAGCCCGGCUAACUUCGUGUCAGCAGCCGC